AAGACAGAGGGGGUCAGUAUUCAGAGCGCAGAAGAAGAAAUCUACAUUAAUUUGAAUAAAGUCAAUAAAGAUACCGACUCUCUGCAACACCAAACACCUGAACUACAAAUGGCCACUCAGACGAAGUUCAGAUCGUGAUGAAAAAGUGACCAAUCAAAUAAUUCUUUCCUCGUUAAUGUAUUAAAUGGUCAACAUUCUGUGAUUCUUAAUACAUUAAAACUGCCUAUAAAGUAGGUAUGUCAGGUGUGCUCAUACAGGACCAGCACUCAUUUCUGAGUACUGGACUGACUUUUAGACCCAACUGUGGGUUUUCAGAGAUUCUCUUUCCUGCCUGUCAUUUGUUUUCUUCAAAAACUUGGCUGUGUGAAGACAGCGAACAGUGCAGGAGGCCCAGGUGUCUUUAGAGGUGAUUUUACACAUAAAAAACCCAAACUGGACGAUAUCAUAGAACUGCAGGUCCAACUUCAAAUUAAGGAGCUGGUAAAAGUUGAGACUUAAUACAGUGUCUAAAAAUCAGCUGGCGUGCAAAAGUUUUUUCAUGCAGGAAGUGAGAAAAACUCCAGCGUGAGUCUCUGGGCCACACAUAGUUAGGUUUCAAUACAGACAGUUGGAUUGGCUGGUUCUUCUGAUCAAUGUUUGAAACCAAUAACCACCAAAUGAUUGAUUAUUGGGCAUCUUUACUUAGUUACUUUUGAUUAUUGGGCAUCUUUACUUAGUUACCUUUAGCUAACAGGUAUGUCGGACACAGAAACAUGAAGAGGGCGACUAACAGAAGCCAGGUGGACUGAUGAGGACAGAGUCUUCUCUGGUGAAGCUGCACCUUCUGAAAGAUGGAUGACACGGCCAUCCUACAAACUUCCCCACAGUGGAGAUAAAGGAGCGAGGAGUAACAUCCAUGCGACAGGAAGGAGAGCUCUGAGGUCUGGACAUGGAGCUGCAAGCAGAGACCAGACAAAUGGCAAAGAGCUUCCUCCUCUUCAUCAGCACUAAGGUGUUUGGGGGUCUAGGAUCUCCAGACCCCCAACGCUCUCAGUGAGCUAUCCCAUGUGACAGCAGACAGCCAAUGAGGUGACAUCACUCAGAGCUGUAACCAGAUUCCACGGUCCUCCACACAGCAGUUUCAGGAAACGUCACCAGCCUGCUUCCCUGCACAGCAACCGCUCGUCCUCUUCAUGUUUUAAAGUGUUCUUCCUGUUUUCAUGUAACACCGUCUCAUCUCCACCUCUGCUGGAUGCAUCACUGUUCCUCUGGAUCACUCUUAAACACUAAAUUCAUUUUUGUGUCCUCACAAUAAAGCAUAUAUUUAUAGAAAUGAACAAUAUGAU